GUUGCAAAGAAAUAAAAAGGAUGCAUUAAAAUGUAACAUAAAAUAAGUGCAAAAGAAAUAAAAAACGAAAAUGUAACACUGGCGACUACACUCGUGCCGGGUUUUGAACAGUGUGCGUUGAUGACAGAGCUCACUCUCAGAGCGGCAAGGCGCGUGUCCCAGGCGCGGGCGAAAAAAAAGUGAAAAGAUACUUGUUACAAAGUCGUUGCCGCCGAUGAUGCUGAGAGAAAUUUAAAUUCAUUGACUAUUAUGUGCCGAUCAAACACUUGUUACAGUAUAUUAAUAUGAUGUAAUAACAUUACAUAAGAUCAGACACCCAAAAGUAAUGACAUGUGUUUAAAUAAUGACAAUAGAAGUAAUGUAGAGAUAUAAAAUGCAUAGUAAACGAUAUCCAAAAUGUACCCAUAUUACCUAGGUGAUGAAGUAUUAAAGCAUAUUCGCCUGAACGCACAUCGAUAUCAAAUAAAAUAAAAGUAAACAAUCUAACAUGCUUCAAAAUUUAGCAAUGUAACACUUUCCCUGUUCGACUUCAAAGACAGCAUUACAUGAUGAUCAGCAAAGCGUUGCAGAAAAAAAGAAGACACUACCGUCUACAACUAGCACUUAUGUCAUGGUUCGCAGAUUAAAAUGUAACGCAAACAUUUAAUAUAUGCGGUGACGUAACACCUGGCGGUUUAACGACAACAUCAUUUACUUGACCAUGAUUUGCCAAAUUAUGAAUGCCGAGCGUUUUGGACCAAUUUUCUGUUAUUAAAAUAGUAAUUAUGUUUUUAACGUUACAAUAUUCCAAGACUCGAACUAAUGACACUGAUGGAGUGAUGAUUGACCGGCUGGAAUUUAUAAUAAAGCAUUCUGGGAGCUUAAUAAUAGUAGUCCCGUUAUUUUUCAUUAGACUUCAGCGUUAAUGUAAGUGGGUCUAGCGCAUUAGCGAUGUAAUGGAAAAUACUAGGUCAUAACAUUAACAUGAGGUAUAAAACGAGCCAGCAGAUUAACCUUUCAUUUCUGUGCCUCUACCAUGAGUUGCCAUCGAAAACUUGUAUUCGUAUACUACAGUCGAUAGAGUUUAAACGUGGAUCGAUGAAGUUUGCAUUAAAAUCAUACCAUGAGUUCAAUUACCGUAUACUUUACUCGCCAGCGAUAAUUCGAUGGUUUUGUGAUGUCAUGUUGGUGAACAUGUUAACGUAUCCAACUUCACACGCUAUGAAUGGAUGAAUGAAAGAACGAAUGCCGCUCCUUUCUAACUAUAUAGAAAAGAUAGAGUAGGAAAUAACAAAAAUAUCAAAAAUAACACUGCAAAAUUUAAGUGUCCUAGAACAGUGCUUAAAGCUGAAUUAACAUGAUGAUUUUAAAUUUGUAUUGUUUAUUUCUUGUCAUUGCGACUUUGACGCAGCUGUUGUCAUGACAACAGAUAACAAAACAUGUUUUGUUGAAGGAUUAUUGAUGAAUAAUUUUCCACAAAAAAUUGGAUUUUAACCACGAUAGGAAAAUGAGAACCUGCGCCUAUCCGUUUAAACCGAUUGUAGAAUUUAUGGAAAGAUAUGGCGAUCUGAGUAUGCCCACUGAAGGACCCCAAGAAAGAGCCAACAAUAGUCAACGGUGGGUGGAACUAACGGAUACGCGAACGUGAAAUGCUGAUGCCACCGGCGACACGAAAACUACUGAGAAAUUGAGAAAAGUGUGGAGUGACUUUAAACAGCAAGAAGAAGGCACCUCGCAUACACAGAGCUGCCAAGGGAACACUGGACUGGUGGCGGUCCAGGUUCUUCCCUGAAGCCAAAGGAUUUAGAGCAGAGUGCUUGUAAAUAACUACUUGUAAAUUAAAUCCAUAAUAAAGACCUAGGGUAACUGGAUGGAUAUACCUACCUUAUUAUUGUAAAAGAUAUAACUAAUUAA